rnacentral:rRNA from 1 species
AUGGGAACGCGAAGAACCUUACCUGGCCUUGAUAUGUCUGGAACCUUGUAGAGAUACGAGGGUGCCUUCGGGAAUCAGAACACAGGUGCUGCAUGGCUGUCGUCAGCUCGUGUUGUGAAAUGUUGGGUUAAGUCCCGCAACGAGCGCAACCCUUAUCCUUUGUUGCCAGCGGUCCGGCCGGGAACUCAAAGGAGACUGCCAGUGAUAAACUGGAGGAAGGUGGGGAUGACGUCAAGUCAUCAUGGCCCUUACGAGUAGGGCUACACACGUGCUACAAUGGCGCAUACAAAGAGAAGCGACCUCGCGAGAGCAAGCGGACCUCAUAAAGUGCGUCGUAGUCCGGAUUGGAGUCUGCAACUCGACUCCAUGAAGUCGGAAUCGCUAGUAAUCGUAGAUCAGAAUGCUACGGUGAAUACGUUCCCGGGUCUUGUACACACCG